GGUCUGAGAGGGUGAUCCGCCACACUGGGACUGAGACACGGCCCAGACUCCUACGGGAGGCAGCAGUGGGGAAUAUUGGACACUGGGGGGAAGCGUGAUCCAGCCAUGCCGCGUGUGUGAAGAAGGCCUUUUGGGUGUAAAGCACUUUAAGCGAGGAGGAGGCUACCGAGAUUAAUACUCUUGGAUAGUGGACGUUACUCGCAGAAUAAGCACCGGCUAACUCUGUCCCGGCAGCGGCGGUAAUACAGAGGGUGCAAGCGUUAAUGGGAUUUACUGGGCGUAAAGCGCGCGUAGGUGGCCAAUUAAGUCAAAUGUGAAAUCCCCGAGCUUAACUUGGGAAUUGCAUUCGAUACU
rnacentral:rRNA from 1 species